AGAGUUUGAUCAUGGCUCAGGACGAACGCUGGCGGCGUGCCUAAUACAUGCAAGUAGAACGCUGAAGAGAGGAGCUUGCUCUUCUUGGAUGAGUUGCGAACGGGUGAGUAACGCGUAGGUAACCUGCCUUGUAGCGGGGGAUAACUAUUGGAAACGAUAGCUAAUACCGCAUAACAAUGGAUGACACAUGUCAUUUAUUUGAAAGGGGCAAUUGUUCCACUACAAGAUGGACCUGCGUUGUAUUAGCUAGUAGGUGAGGUAAUGGCUCACCUAGGCGACGAUACAUAGCCAACCUGAGAGGGUGAUCGGCCACACUGGGACUGAGACACGGCCCAGACUCCUACGGGAGGCAGCAGUAGGGAAUCUUCGGCAAUGGGGGCAACCCUGACCGAGCAACGCCGCGUGAGUGAAGAAGGUUUUCGGAUCGUAAAGCUCUGUUGUAAGUCAAGAACGGGUGUGAGAGUGGAAAGUUCACACUGUGACGGUAGCUUACCAGAAAGGGACGGCUAACUACGUGCCAGCAGCCGCGGUAAUACGUAGGUCCCGAGCGUUGUCCGGAUUUAUUGGGCGUAAAGCGAGCGCAGGCGGUUUGAUAAGUCUGAAGUUAAAGGCUGUGGCUCAACCAUAGUUCGCUUUGGAAACUGUCAAACUUGAGUGCAGAAGGGGAGAGUGGAAUUCCAUGUGUAGCGGUGAAAUGCGUAGAUAUAUGGAGGAACACCGGUGGCGAAAGCGGCUCUCUGGUCUGUAACUGACGCUGAGGCUCGAAAGCGUGGGGAGCGAACAGGAUUAGAUACCCUGGUAGUCCACGCCGUAAACGAUGAGUGCUAGGUGUUAGAUCCUUUCCGGGAUUCAGUGCCGCAGCUAACGCAUUAAGCACUCCGCCUGGGGAGUACGACCGCAAGGUUGAAACUCAAAGGAAUUGACGGGGGCCCGCACAAGCGGUGGAGCAUGUGGUUUAAUUCGAAGCAACGCGAAGAACCUUACCAGGUCUUGACAUCCCGAUGCUAUUUCUAGAGAUAGAAAGUUACUUCGGUACAUCGGUGACAGGUGGUGCAUGGUUGUCGUCAGCUCGUGUCGUGAGAUGUUGGGUUAAGUCCCGCAACGAGCGCAACCCCUAUUGUUAGUUGCCAUCAUUCAGUUGGGCACUCUAGCGAGACUGCCGGUAAUAAACCGGAGGAAGGUGGGGAUGACGUCAAAUCAUCAUGCCCCUUAUGACCUGGGCUACACACGUGCUACAAUGGUUGGUACAACGAGUUGCGAGUCGGUGACGGCGAGCUAAUCUCUUAAAGCCAAUCUCAGUUCGGAUUGUAGGCUGCAACUCGCCUACAUGAAGUCGGAAUCGCUAGUAAUCGCGGAUCAGCACGCCGCGGUGAAUACGUUCCCGGGCCUUGUACACACCGCCCGUCACACCACGAGAGUUUGUAACACCCGAAGUCGGUGAGGUAACCUUUUGGAGCCAGCCGCCUAAGGUGGGACAGAUGAUUGGGGUGAAGUCGUAACAAGGUA
rnacentral:rRNA from 1 species